rnacentral:rRNA from 1 species
CCGUAGUGGCGGACGGGUGAGUAACGCGUGGGUAACCCGCCUCAUACAGGGGGAUAACAGUUGGAAACGGCUGCUAAUACCGCAUAAGCGCACAGUACCGCAUGGUACCGUGUGAAAAACUCCGGUGGUAUGAGAUGGACCCGCGUCUGAUUAGCUAGUUGGUGGGGUAACGGCCUACCAAGGCGACGAUCAGUAGCCGACCUGAGAGGGUGACCGGCCACAUUGGGACUGAGACACGGCCCAA